rnacentral:ncRNA from 1 species
GAGUUAAUACGAUCAUUAGCUGUCCUUAUUAAGUUUCGAGGAUGAAACUUUUUGUAAGGGGGAGGGGAUGUGAUAUCCCGAAAAUUUAAACUUGAUUAAAUUAAAUAAUAAUAUUUAGUGGAAAAAAUUUUCCUUUCAUCAUCAGUUAUGACUGAAAUUUAGUUACUCUAUAUCCAAGUAAUGAUAAAGGAUAAUUAGUUCGUUAAAUGAAUAUAUAUUUUGUAUGUAUUAUUAACAAGUUAUGUUAGAUUAAAUAAUAACAUUAGUAAAAGUAAGAAGAUCAACUAUAAAAAAAUUAAUUACUAAAACAUUAUAAAGAUAUUGACGGCGCUGAAGUGACCCAUGCCAUACUCCUAGGAAAAGCUCGAACAACCUUCAACAAAAGGGUACAUGUACCCGAAACUGACACAAGUAGGUAGGUAGAGAAUACCUAGGGGUGCGAGACAACUCGCUCUAAGGAACUCGGCGAAAUAGCCCUGUAACUUCGGGAGAAGGGGUGCCCCCUCACAAAGGGGGUCGAAGUGACCAGUCCCAGGCGAUUGUUCUCCAAAAGCACAUGUCUCCGCAAAGUCGUAAGACCUGCCAUGUAUGGGGAUGACGUCUGCCCAGUGCGGAAAGGUCAAGUAAGUUGGUGACUUGAUGACACGGGAGCCGGCAACCGAAGCCCUGGUGAACAGCGGUCGUAACUAUAACAGUCCUAAGGUAGCAAAAUUCCUUGGUAAUCCAAUGUUGGCACAAAUUGAUGGUAUUAAGAAUAAAAGGGGAAAGAAAAGGAGAAA